rnacentral:pre_miRNA from 1 species
AAAAAAGACAAACCUGAGUUUCCGUGUCUAACUUUGACUGUCUUAUAUAAAUUUUUUUUAUAAUUCGUAUUUUCGUUAUUGUUAGAUGAUAAAAUAUGAUUAAUAUUUUAUGCGUGACUUAUCUUUUUAAUUUUUUUAUAAUUUUUUCAAUUAAGACGGACGGUCCAACUUUAAGCUCGCAAACAAGGG